rnacentral:rRNA from 1 species
UCCGUAGGCGGUGUGGCAAGUCGGUAGUGAAAUCUCUCGGCUUAACUGAGAGGCUGCUGCCGAAACUGCCAUGCUCGAGUGCGAGAGAGGCGAGUGGAAUUGCGGGUGUAGCGGUGAAAUGCGUAGAUAUCCGCAGGAACAUCCGAGGCGAAAGCGGCUCGCUGGAUCGCAACUGACGCUGAGGGACGAAAGCUAGGGGAGCAAACAGGAUUAGAUACCCCUGGUAGUCCUAGCCCUAAACCAUCAGGACUUGGGGUUUGCCCUGUACAGGGCAAGUCCCGGAGCUAACGCGUUAAGUCCUGCGCCUGGGGAGUACGGUCGCAAGGCUGAA